UACGUAGGUGGCAAGCGUUGUCCGGAAUUAUUGGGCGUAAAGGGUCUGUAGGUGGCCAACUAAGUCAUACGUGAAAUCCCUCAGCUUAACUGGGGAACUGCGUCUGAUACUGGUUGGCUUGAGUGCAGGAGAGGAACGCGGAAUUCCAGGUGUAGCGGUGAAAUGCGUAGAUAUCUGGAGGAACACCGGUGGCGAAGGCGGCGUUCUGGACUGCAACUGACACUGAAAGACGAAAGCCAGGGGAGCAAACGGG
rnacentral:rRNA from 1 species